rnacentral:rRNA from 1 species
AACGUAGGUGGCGAGCGUUAUCCGGAUUUACUGGGCGUAAAGCGUGUGCAGGCGGGCCUUCAAGUGGUGUAUGAAAUCGCUCGGCUAAACCGGGCGGGGUUAUGCCAGACUGAAGGUCUAGAGUGCGAGAGAGGGGCGUGGAAUUCCGGGUGUAGUGGUGAAAUGCGUAGAGAUCCGGAGGAACCCCAGAGGCGAAGGCGGCGCCCUGGCUCGCAACUGACGCUCAGACACGACAGCAUGGGGAGCGAACGGG